AUAUUCACUGAUUCACACACUAAGAAUACUUUUUUUUUUUUUUUUACAAAAGAUGAUUAUUUUAACCCUGAGGACCUAGAUGUGGCCAGUCUUUGUUGGGACCACUGUUGUCAUCGUCAUCGUCACCAUCUAACACCGGCUUUUAUCAAGGGUUGCUCCCUGAGCCUGGAUGCCAAUCAUUCACCUCUCCUUGGCAAAAGUAAUAAAUCAUAGCGAGAAACUGACUGCUUUUGAAGAAUAUAGAAGAUAAAGAAACUGAGUGUUUGAGAACUGGAAGGUGGCAAAAAGCAGCAGGAGGCGAAGAGGAAAAGAUCAAGUGGAAAGACUCAGCACCAUGUGUACUUUGCUCAGCUCGGAACUUGAACCCUUCUACAGAGAUCACGUCUGUCUGAGCCUCUUGAAUUGCCAACCUUGUGAUAAACAAUAGGUAAACGUAUCCAGGGAGAAACAGGGCAACACCAAGGAGACAACAGGGCCAUAGGACAGGUUCCAGGUACAGCUGAAGGGCCAUCUGGACACCCACUCCCACCCACUUUUGUCAGAGUCACCAAGCACAGUGGGGGGUCGGGGUGGAGCCACAGGCGCUGACAGAAUAGUGACUCCCCCACAACUUCCUCCUUCCUGCCCAGCUCAGCCUGUUUACUCAGCAGACUUGUCUGGUGUAAAGCUCUCAUCUUCCCCACAACCGGCCCCAUUUCUCCACCACCUUCCCAUACCACACAUAGCUGUAUUUCUUAAGGGAGAGAUUUUUCUUUUUACGUUAGCUGUAGACAGCAACCAAAGGUAAAUAACAAUUUGUCUAUAUUUUAUUAUUUGAUUCCUUAAAGAGGUUUCACUUCCUUUCUUGGGAGCAAUGAGCCAAGCAUGAAUAGGUUUUGUGGACACUAAGUCUCAAGUUUGACUGUGACUCCACUUUGGCACUCUACCUGACCUUCUCCGGUAGUGCCGGGCACCUGACUUACCUUAUUAAGUUAAUUAAAGUUUGGCUACUAAUGACACUCUUCUGGUUCUCCUCCUAACUUGGUGGCUGUCCAUCUAAGUGUCCUUCCCAGGCUCCUCCUCCAAUCAUUAAUAUUGGUAGUCACUAGAAUUCAAUCCUUUCCACAUACACUUCCCGAAUAAUCUCCUUUUGGUGCACCACUAGCUAGAUGUGUGACCUGGGGCAAGUUAUUGGCCUCUGUGUGCCUCAGUUCUUUCAUCUGUGAAAUGAAAAUAAUAGUAUUAUGUGCCUCCUUGGGUUGUUGUGAAGAUUACAUGGGCUGAUAUAAGUAACAUUCUUGUUUUGAAUUUUACUAAGUUUUUAAUUUUAAUUCCAGUGUAGUUAACAUACAGUGUUCUAUUAGUUUCAGUUGUAUGACACAGUAAUUUAGUAAUUCUAUACACUACUCAAUACUUAUCGUGAUAAGGGUACUCUUAAUCCUCAUCACCUAUUUCACUCAUCUCCCCACCCACCUCCCAUCUGGUAACCAUCUGUUUGUUCCCUAUAGUUAAGGGUCUGUUUCUUGGGGUACCUGGGUGGCUCAGUUGAUUAAGUGUCUCACUCUUGGUUUUAGCUCAGGUCAUGAUCUCAUGACUCGUGAAUUCAGGUCCCACAUUGGGCUCUGCGCUGACAGCACAGAGCCUGCUUGGGAUUCUCUGUCUCCCUCUCUCUCUGCCCCUCCUACCCCCCUCACAGUCUCUCUCUGUCUCAAAAAUAAAUAAACAUUUUUUAAA